CAGAACUGGAUUUUUGAACACUUGUAGCACAUGGUGUCCUGGGAAUCCUGGCUAUGUAAAUUUCACCUGCUAGCUCAUUAUCAGGGGAAGUGUUGGUCAUGCUAGUGUGCAUACUCACUUGGGAAGAAAUGGAAGUAGGAGAGAGCAUAUAAUCCAAUACUAAGGAUUUCAAUUAUCAUGGUGUAUUCAAGUCAAAGCUAAAUAGUAGUCUGCGUCCU